UACGGAGGGUGCAAGCGUUGUCCGGAAUCACUGGGCGUAAAGGGCGCGUAGGCGGCUCAUGAAGGCUGUGGUGAAAGUCCGGGGCUCAACCUCGGAUCGGCCGUGGCGACUCGUGGGCUGGAGCACUGUAGAGGCGGGUGGAAUUGCGGGUGUAGCGGUGGAAUGCGUAGAGAUCCGGAAGAACACCAGUGGCGAAGGCGGCCCGCUGGGCAGUGGCUGACGCUGAGGCGCGAAAGCGUGGGGAGCAAACAGG
rnacentral:rRNA from 1 species